rnacentral:rRNA from 1 species
GUGAGGAAUAUUGGUCAAUGGGCGAGAGCCUGAACCAGCCAAGUCGCGUGAAGGAAGAAGGAUCUAUGGUUCGUAAACUUCUUUUGCAGGGGAAUAAAGUGCGGGACGUGUCCUGUUUUGUAUGUACCCUGAGAAUAAGGAUCGGCUAACUCCGUGCCAGCAGCCGCGGUAAUACGGAGGAUCCGAGCGUUAUCCGGAUUUAUUGGGUUUAAAGGGUGCGUAGGUGGUUUGAUAAGUCAGCGGUGAAAGUUUGCAGCUUAACUGUAAAAAUGCCGUUGAAACUGGCGGACUUGAGUGUAAAUGAGGUAGGCAGAAUGCGUGGUGUAGCGGUGAAAUGCAUAGAUAUCACGCAGAACUCCGAUUGCGAAGGCAGCUUACUAAGCUACAACUGACACUGAAGCACGAAAGCGUGGGGAUCAAACAGGCUUAGAAACCCCAGUAGUCC